GAUGAACGCUAGCGGCAGGCUUAACACAUGCAAGUCGAGGGGUAGAAGUUGCUUGCAACUUUGAGACCGGCGCACGGGUGCGUAACGCGUAUGCAAUCUACCUUAUACAGAGGGAUAGCCCAGAGAAAUUUGGAUUAAUACCUCAUAGUAUAAUUGAAUGGCAUCAUUUAAUUAUUAAAGUUCCAACGGUAUAAGAUGAGCAUGCGUCCUAUUAGCUAGAUGGUAAGGUAACGGCUUACCAUGGCAACGAUAGGUAGGGGUCCUGAGAGGGAGAUCCCCCACACUGGUACUGAGACACGGACCAGACUCCUACGGGAGGCAGCAGUGAGGAAUAUUGGACAAUGGGCGCAAGCCUGAUCCAGCCAUGCCGCGUGCAGGAAGAAGCAUCUAUGGUGUGUAAACUGCUUUUGUACGGGAAGAAACACCCCGACGUGUCGGGGCUUGACGGUACUGUAAGAAUAAGGAUCGGCUAACUCCGUGCCAGCCGCCGCUGUAAGAC
rnacentral:rRNA from 1 species